CAUCGCCCUCGUUAUCCGUCUGCCCGUCUGCUUCUCCCAACGCACGGCUUCUCCAAAGUCGCCGGACAAGACCCGAUCGUUUCGUCCUGAACAUGCGAGAAGAAGCUCCGCCAGAGAGAAAUCUGCUAAAAUCCAGCCAGUGCCUUGAAUUGAAUGUUGUGAAACUAUGCCUCACAAACGCUGAUUGACACCGUCCGAGAUUAUGGUCUAACAUGUAUCCACACUACUGCCAUUCGUCUCGCCUGAGCCAACAACAACUUGCGUUCAUUUUGUGCCAACGAUGGAGGAACAUUUGUUGGAUGAUGUUAUCGCCCUACAAGACUGGAUGACAGGGCUGGGUGUCAUCUGGGAAUGUGACGUUAUCACUAGAUUAGGAACUGGAUGGAGCCAAACUCUAAACCUUGCUGGACUGAGAUCAUUGUUGGAAAUUCAUGGGCUGUAAUCUGAAAUACGAGUGGGCAAUACACACUAAGAGUAAGCAGCACAUGCACUAUGUUCAUGUUAAAAUGUAUUUUGUGUGCUUUGUUGCUUUUUAACGGUAGGAUUGUAUGGCAAAUCAAAUUAUUCGUAUGUUGCAAAACAUACUUGGCUAAUAAAGUAUGAUUAUGAUUA